GAUGAACGCUGGCGGCGUGCCUAAUACAUGCAAGUCGAGCGAACAGACGAGGAGCUUGCUCCUCUGACGUUAGCGGCGGACGGGUGAGUAACGCGUGGAUAACCUACCUAUAAGACUGGGAUAACUUCGGGAAACCGGAGCUAAUACCGGAUAAUAUAUUGAACCGCAUGGUUCAAUAGUGAAAGACGGUUUUGCUGUCACUUAUAGAUGGAUCCGCGCCGCAUUAGCUAGUUGGUAAGGUAACGGCUUACCAAGGCGACGAUGCGUAGCCGACCUGAGAGGGUGAUCGGCCACACUGGAACUGAGACACGGUCCAGACUCCUACGGGAGGCAGCAGUAGGGAAUCUUCCGCAAUGGGCGAAAGCCUGACGGAGCAACGCCGCGUGAGUGAUGAAGGUCUUCGGAUCGUAAAACUCUGUUAUUAGGGAAGAACAAAUGUGUAAGUAACUAUGCACGUCUUGACGGUACCUAAUCAGAAAGCCACGGCUAACUACG
rnacentral:rRNA from 1 species